CAUGCCCUACGGGGCGCAGCAGUGGGGGAUAUUGCACAAUGGGGGGAACCCUGAUGCAGCGACGCCGCGUGAAGGAAGAAGUAUCUCGGUAUGUAAACUUCUAUCAGCAGGGAAGAAAAUGACGGCACCUGACUAAGAAGCCCCGGCUAACUACGUGCCAGCAGCCGCGGUAAUACGUAGGGGGCAAGCGUUAUCCGGAUUUACUGGGUGUAAAGGGGGCGCAGACGGCGAUGCAAGCCAGGAGUGAAAGCCCGGGGCCCAACCCCGGGACUGCUCUUGGAACUGCGUGGCUGGAGUGCAGGAGG
rnacentral:rRNA from 1 species